AGGACGAACGCUGGCGGCGUGCUUAACACAUGCAAGUCGAGCGACGCUCCUCCUUCGGGAGGAUGACGGAGCGGCGAACGGGUGAGUAACACGUGGGCAACCUGCCCCUAGCUCUGGGAUAACCCCGGGAAAUCGGGACUAAUACCGGAUAUGAAGUCGGACGGCAUCUUCUGACUUGGAAAGUUUUUCGGCUAGGGAUGGGCCCGCGGCCUAUCAGCUUGUUGGUGGGGUAACGGCCUACCAAGGCGACGACGGGUAGCCGGCCUGAGAGGGCGACCGGCCACACUGGGACUGAGACACGGCCCAGACUCCUACGGGAGGCAGCAGUGGGGAAUAUUGGACAAUGGGCGCAAGCCUGAUCCAGCCAUGCCGCGUGGAUGAUGAAGGCCUUAGGGUUGUAAAGUCCUUUAACGGGGAAGAUAAUGACGGUACCGUAGAAUAAGCCCGGCUAACUCGUGCCAGCAGCCGC
rnacentral:rRNA from 1 species